UAAAAUCUUUUGAAUAAAAAGCAACUAAAAAAGACACUCAAGUCACAAACGCACAGAAAAUUAACACAACACGUUAUUAACACCAACAGCAGUGAAUAUCUUCUUUUGUAAUAGGAAAUUUUAAAACAGUAGCAAUAGUAAUGAUAAUAGCUUCUUCUAAUGUGGUUUACAAGGACAAAACAUCAGAUUUAUAAGAGGAAACAAGGAAAUGAUGUGUGUCUGACGUUCAAAAUAUCUGAAGAAAAUGUGAAUGAAAGAACAUUGAACAGAUUCAGCGAAUGAAUGAAUGAAAGAACACUGAACGAAGUUAAUUAAAGAACGCUGAACGAACUAAAUGAAUGAAUGAACACCGAGCGAACUUAAUAUGAGGAAAGGAAUAUGAAACUAAAAUAACUUAGAAAAAUAAAUACGGAAAGGAAACAGAUGAACGGGGAAAUACCCAAGAAUCAAAACAAAAGAGAAGCGUUAGAUU